UACAGAGGUGGCAAGCGUUGUUCGGAAUUACUGGGCGUAAAGGGCGCGUAGGCGGCCAUCUAAGUCAGACGUGAAAUCCCCCGGCUUAACCUGGGAACUGCGUCUGAUACUGGGAGGCUUGAGUAUGGGAGAGGGAUGUAGAAUUCCAGGUGCAGCGGUGAAAUGCGUAGAUAUCUGGAGGAAUACCGGUGGCGAAGGCGGCAUCCUGGACCAUUACUGACGCUGAGGCGCGAAAGCUAGGGGAGCAAACGGG
rnacentral:rRNA from 1 species